GACGAACGCUGGCGGCGUGCCUAAUACAUGCAAGUAGAACGCACAGUUUAUACCGUAGCUUGCUACACCAUAAACUGUGAGUUGCGAACGGGUGAGUAACGCGUAGGUAACCUGCCUGGUAGCGGGGGAUAACUAUUGGAAACGAUAGUUAAUACCGCAUAAUAUUGAUUAUUGCAUGAUAAUUGAUUGAAAGAUGCUAUUGCAUCACUACCAGAUGGACCUGCGUUGUAUUAGCUAGUAGGUGAGGUAACGGCUCACCUAGGCGACGAUACAUAGCCGACCUGAGAGGGUGAUCGGCCACACUGGGACUGAGACACGGCCCAGACUCCUACGGGAGGCAGCAGUAGGGAAUCUUCGGCAAUGGACGAAAGUCUGACCGAGCAACGCCGCGUGAGUGAAGAAGGUUUUCGGAUCGUAAAGCUCUGUUGUAAGAGAAGAACGGGUGUGAGAGUGGAAAGUUCACACUGUGACGGUAUCUUACCAGAAAGGGACGGCUAACUACGUG
rnacentral:rRNA from 1 species